rnacentral:sRNA from 1 species
CAGACUGUGGGCUGCACACUGCAGGAAGAUUCAGCUGAAGAAAGAUAACUCUUCCACACAAGUGUACAACUACCAACCCUGCGACCACCCAGACCGCCCCUGUGACAGCACCUGCCCCUGCAUCAUGACUCAGAAUUUCUGUGAGAAGUUCUGCCAGUGCAACCCAGACUGUCAGAAUCGUUUCCCUGGCUGUCGCUGUAAGACCCAGUGCAAUACCAAGCAAUGUCCUUGCUAUCUGGCAGUGCGAGAAUGUGACCCUGACCUGUGUCUCACCUGUGGGGCUUCAGAGCACUGGGACUGCAAGGUGGUUUCCUGUAAAAACUGCAGCAUCCAGCGUGGCCUUAAGAAGGUGAGGCCUUUCCUCAGGACCCCACACCAGAUAAAAUGGAGGGGGAAGGAAGGAACGGUCCCAAGCAUUCUCUUUCCACUGGUUCUUUUGAGGCUUUAUAUGUGAAAGUGCUUGAUAAAUCCUAAAACACACAUAUUUACUGAAUUAAUAAAGGCUUCAGUCCCAGUAGGGCUUAGAAAAGUGGUUCCUGGCCAGGUGUGGUAGCUCACGCCUGUAAUCCCAGCUCUUUGGGAGGCCGAGGCCAGUGGAUCAUGAGGUCAAGAGUUUGAGACCAGCCUGGGCAACAUGGUGAAACCCUGUCUCUACUAAAAAUAUAAAAAUUAGCCAGGCAUGGUGGUGCAUGCCUGUAAUCCCAGCUACUCGGAAGGCUGAGGUAGGAGAAUCGCUUGAACCUGGGAGGUGGAGGUUGCAGCAAGCCGAGAUC